rnacentral:rRNA from 1 species
GACGUAGGAGACGAGCGUUAUCCGGAUUUACUGGGCGUAAAGCGCGUGCAGGCGGCUCGUUAAGUUGGAUGUGAAAGCCCCCGGCUAAACUGGGGGAGGUCGUUCAAGACUGGCGGGCUAGAGUGCAGCAGAGGAGAGUGGAAUUCCGAGUGGGGCGGUAAAAUGCACAGAUAUUCGGAAGAACACCAGAGGCGAAGGCGGCUCUCUGGGCUGCAACUGACGCUCAGACGCGAAAGCUAGGGGAGCGAACGGG